CUUAUCAAGAGCGGCUGAGGGAACGGCCCUGUGAAGCCCGGCAACCUACUUAAGUGUAAGGUGCUAAUUCCGGCAACGUUUACGCGUUGAAAGAUGAGU
rnacentral:ncRNA from 1 species